CCCGCUGCACGCCCAACUUGAGCGUCCACUCAGGCCUUACACUUACAGCGCGUAUACACGUGAUACUCAUAAUCCACAUGUUCCACAUCACAUUAUUUUAAACAAUAACUGUCUCGUCGCUAAAUGUAUGUGUAAUCAGAUGUCAACUGCAUAUAAAACUAUUUUUAUGAAGAAAUUAAGUUGUUUUCUUGAGUUUGCAGACCCGAUACCAUCAUGAAGAUCUUCUAUGUGAUUUUCGUGAUUGCCCUUCUAGCGGUGGCAUUUAUUUACGUUGAAGCAGCCAUUUCAUGCACUAUGGAGUAUCAACCAGUAUGCUCUAUCAACAACAUUACAUAUGGAAACAAUUGCUCGAGAAUUGGUGCGUGCGAUCCAUACUGGAAAGACGGGCCCUGCGAUGGACGUGGAUGGGCAGAUGCCUGAUUGGCUCAAAUCAUGGCUCAUAGUUUGACUCUUUACGUACUGACAACCUUCUUAUUAAGAUUUUUUUUUACUUAUUAAGAUUGUACACUAAUAAAAAACUAGUCAAUAAAAACUUACGACUACGUAAUUAUACCCUUUGUCCCAAACAUUGAGAUUAACGUUCCAUAAUAUGAGAUAAAUUUGCGA